GUUCCACUUUUCCAAACCAAAACGAAGUUGUUGAUCUGACUUUCUGAGAAGUCAGGACACAGAGAGAUAACAGGCAAAUCCCCAACAGGCCAGGUUUAGCCAGCAUGAUAGGCAGUCCCUCCCCUCUGCUUUAAUGUUUACAAGGAAAGUAACUUUGCAACCAAUCUGUGUUUUGUUCUCUGUUUCUGCUUCAGCCUUUUCUAUCCAUAAAGCCCAUCUCCCCAUCUCUGAUCGGAGGAACGCUCAGUCUGUUUUAUGGAAUGAACUGUUGCCUGAUUCUAGAAUAGCAAAUAAAGCCAAUUAGGAUCUUUAAACUAAAUCUGUUGUACUUUUGUCCUUUGACAGUUCCAUGAUGGAAAAUCUAAUGGCCACUUUCCAUUUACCACGUCAAAGGAACAGUCCAGGCUUCCCUUCAUUUCCACAAUGACCCCAACUGUUUUGCCACUCGCUCCUUGAAGAACAUCUGGAUUUGUUUCUGGCUUUUGGCUAUGAGGAAUAAGCCUGCUGAGAACAUUCAGCUCUAGGAUUUUGUGUGAAUGGACUGAAUUUACAGCUUACCAAGCCAGGCCAUUGCACUUUUGGACAACUCUACUAAAUGGAUUUUCCUCAUGCCAUCGCAUAACUGCUACCUGCCACCAGAGCCUUAGAAAUACAUGGCUUUCCAUCAAGCACUCAUGGAACAUGUCACUGUGGGCACUUCUAGGGGGGAUUCAUGAUGGAUCCUCCAAGAUCAACUAAAUAUAAAACAAACUCCCAGGUAACAGAACCAUUUCAGCUAUUAAAUAAAAUCAUCUG
rnacentral:lncRNA from 1 species